CUCAGAGAUUUUGUUUUUUCUGGUUAACACUUUUUCUGGUUUCGGUUAUUUGCUUUUGUUUUAACAUUUUUUUUGCGUCUGUUUCAAUAUAUUUUUUUGAUUGUUGAAUAAUGAAAUUUGAAAGGUUCAAGACUGCCUAAGCAACAAUAACAUCAACAUCAACAUCAUCAAAAUUGCGAUCAAAAACCUAAACCCAAAUUAAAGGUAAGAUUUAUGUUGGUAACAAACAUGUGCUUCGAUCAACAAUUUCAAUUCACAUUCCCAGCUAUUAUUGAAUAACAUGUUAAAAUGUAUCUUUUAUGUGAAAUUUAUUGUUAAAUUAAACUGAUUGUUGCUAUUGA